UCUCUUUACAGCAUCCUUUGCCUACACACCCACCGGUAAGCCCGUAAGUGCUGCGGGGUCCCAGUACGGCCUCUCGCUGCCCUCACCCCCAUCUCUUUCCACAGUCAGCUUCCCAGCUCCAGUGCGCAGCAACCCCAGGGCAGCUGCCGGCGGGGGUUACCCGUGGCUGGUGGAUGCGUGGCGUGGUGGCAGCACAGCCAGUUCUGCCGGUUGUUUGGGGAGCACUGAGAGAUACUACAAUGAUGCUGGCAUCACCCGUUACAUCGCCCAGACAGAGCAGUUUGGAGUGGGGGCUGGCGAGGGGCCGGUUUACAGCAGCAUCGCGGAUGACAGUGAGGAGAUCUGCACAUUCCCCCGUCCCUUCUCACAGUACGGGACCUCCUACCCCGGGGGCGGUUCCCAGCCAAUGGAUGCUGCAGCCUCCCAGGUGCCCCGUGGCCGGGCUGAGCACGGUAGGGUGGUCGCAGGGGUGGGGGCACACGUGGGUGCUCGUGGUGCGGUGCCCUCCCCACAGCCCCCCCAGCAUCCCUCCUUGGCACAGGGGCCAGAGCAAAACUGGGGCAAGCAGUGAAACCGCCGGUGGUGAGCUGGACAGAGCUGCUGCCCCCGCCGCCCUCAGCCAGUGA
rnacentral:lncRNA from 1 species